GAAAUACUCCCUCCGUUCGGAAUUACUUGUCGCAGAAAUGGAUGUAUCUAGACGUAUUUUAGUUCUAGAUACAUCCAUUUCCGAGACAAGUAAUUCCGAACGGAGGGAGUAGAUG
rnacentral:pre_miRNA from 1 species